UUGAACGCUGGCGGCAUGCCUUACACAUGCAAGUCGAACGGUAGCAGCUCUUCGGAGGCUGACGAGUGGCGAACGGGUGAGUAAUACAUCGGAACGUGCCCGAUCGUGGGGGAUAACGGAGCGAAAGCUUUGCUAAUACCGCAUACGAUCUACGGAUGAAAGCAGGGGACCCUUGGGCCUUGCGCGAACGGAGCGGCCGAUGGCAGAUUAGGUAGUUGGUGGGAUAAAAGCUUACCAAGCCGACGAUCUGUAGCUGGUCUGAGAGGACGACCAGCCACACUGGGACUGAGACACGGCCCAGACUCCUACGGGAGGCAGCAGUGGGGAAUUUUGGACAAUGGGCGAAAGCCUGAUCCAGCAAUGCCGCGUGCAGGAUGGAGGCCUUCGGGUUGUAAACUGCUUUUGUACGGAACGAAAAGUCUCGGGAUAAUACCCUGUCGUGCUGACGGUACCGGGUGAAUAAGCACCGGCUAACUUCGU
rnacentral:rRNA from 1 species